AUUGAACGCUGGCGGCAGGCCUAACACAUGCAAGUCGAGCGGAUGAAGGGAGCUUGCUCCUGGAUUCAGCGGCGGACGGGUGAGUAAUGCCUAGGAAUCUGCCUGGUAGUGGGGGAUAACGUCCGGAAACGGGCGCUAAUACCGCAUACGUCCUGAGGGAGAAAGUGGGGGAUCUUCGGACCUCACGCUAUCAGAUGAGCCUAGGUCGGAUUAGCUAGUUGGUGGGGGAAAGGCCUACCAAGGCGACGAUCCGUAACUGGUCUGAGAGGAUGAUCAGUCACACUGGAACUUAGACACGGUCCAGACUCCUACGGGAGGCAGCAGUGGGGAAUAUUGGACCAUGGGCGAAAGCCUGAUCCAGGCAUGGCGCGUGUGUGAAGAAGGGCUUCGGAUUGGAAAGCACUUUAAGUUGGGAGGAAGGGCAGUAAGUUAAUACCUUGCUGUUUUGACGUUACCAACAGAAUAAGCACCGGCUAACUUCGUG
rnacentral:rRNA from 1 species